rnacentral:rRNA from 1 species
CCCUUGUCAUUAGUUGCUACAUUUAUUGGGCACUCUAUGAGACUGCCGGUGACAAACCGGAGGAAGGUGGGGAUGACGUCCAGUCCUCAUGGCCCUUAUAGGUGGGGCUACACACGUCAUACAAUGGCUGGUACAAAGGGUUGCCAACCCGCGAGGGGGAGCCAAUCCCACAAAGCCAGUCGUAGUCCGGAUCGCAGUCUGCAACUCGACUGCGUGAAGUCGGAAUCGCUAGUAAUCGUGGAUCAGAAUGUCACGGUGAAUACGUUCCCGGGUCUUGUACACACCGCCCGU